rnacentral:lncRNA from 1 species
AUUAAGAGAAUGUGUUAAAGAAACAUAUCAAGGGAAUAAUUUGGGACAAAAUCCAGAGCAAUAGAAUUCUCUGCUACAAUCUAGGCAGCAGUGCCUGGAUGUUUAAGUGUGUGUGUGUUAUAUUAUUUGUAUGUGCGUGUGUAUAUAGGGGGCGGGUGUCUUGUGUAUGUUGUAUGUAUGUGUGUCUGUGUGUAGGCCAGAGACUGACUUCCCUAAUCUGCACUCCAGAAUAGGGCUUCUGCUGCUAUUAUAGAUGGUAAUUGAACUCAGGACCUCUGGAAGAGUAGAUGGUGCUCUUAACUGCUGAACCACCUCCCCAGCCCCUUCACUUUGAUUUUUCAGGCAGGGUCUCUCCCUGAGCAUAGAGCUCCAAUUUGGCUAGGCUGGCUGGCCAGCACCCCCUGGGGGUCCUCCUGUCUCUGCCUCCCCAGCAUCGGAUUACAGGUACACACUAGCUAUCACAGGCACACACUAGCUAUCACAGGCACACACUACAUCUUCACAGGCCCACACUAGCUAUCACAGGCACACACUAGCUAUCACAGGCACACACUAGCUAUCACAGGCACACACUACAUCUAUCACAGGCACACACUAGCUAUCACAGGCACACACUAGCUAUCACAGGCACACACUAGCUAUCACAGGCCCACACUAGCUAUCACAGGCACACACUAGCUAUCACAGGCACACACUAACUGUCACAGGCCCACACUAGCUGUCACAGGCACACACUAGCUAUCACAGGCCCACACUAGCUAUCACAGGCACACACUAGCUAUCACAGGCACACACUAGCUAUCACAGGCACACACUACAUCUAUCACAGGCACACACUAGCUAUCACAGGCACACUCUAGCUAUCACAGGCCCACACUAACUGUCACAGGCACACACUAGCUAUCACAGGCACACACUAGCUAUCACAGGCACACACUACAUCUUCACAGGCCCACACUAGCUAUCACAGGCACACACUAGCUAUCACAGGCACACACUAGCUAUCACAGGCACAUACUAACUGUCACAGGCCCACACUAGCUGUCACAGGCACACACUAGCUAUCACAGGCCCACACUAGCUAUCACAGGCACACACUAGCUAUCACAGGCACACACUAGCUAUCACAGGCAUACACUAACUGUCACAGGCCCACACUAGCUGUCACAGGCCCACACUAGCUAUCACAGGCCCACACUAACUGUCACAGGCCCACACUAGCUGUCACAGGCACACACUAGCUAUCACAGGCCCACACUAGCUAUCACAUGCACACACUAGCUAUCACAGGCACACACUACAUCUAUCACAGGCCCACACUAGCUAUCACAGGCCCACACUAGCUAUCACAGGCACACACUAGCUAUCACAGGUCCACAUUAGCUAUCACAGGCACACACUAGCUAUCAAUCACAGGCACAGGCCUUUUACAGAUGCUGAAGAUCUGAACUCAGACCCCCAGGCUUGUGCUGCAGGUACUUUUGCUAGGCUUAAGCUUGCUAAGUAGCUCAGGCUGGUUUUGAACUCCGGAC